rnacentral:rRNA from 1 species
GAUGAACGCUGGCGGCGUGCUUAACACAUGCAAGUCGAACGGUGAAGCGCCUUCCUUUUUGCUUUGUGUGUAUGAGUGGCAAACGGGUGAGUAACACGUGAGUAACCUGCCCCCGUCUUCUGGAAAACCGCAUGAAAGUGUGGCUAAUACGUGAUAUUUUGGGUCUGUCGCAUGAUGGGUCUGGGAAAGAUUUUGUUUCGCUGGGGGAUGGGCUCGCGGCCUAUCAGCUUGUUGGUGGGGUGAGGGCCUACCAAGGCGGUGACGGGUAGCCGGCAUGAGAGGGUGGACGGUCAUACUGGGAAUGAGACACGGCCAAGACUACGACGGGAGGCAGCAGUGGGGAAUAUUGCACGAUGGGCGCAAGCCUGAUGCAGCGACGCCGCGUGAGGGAUGGAGGCCUUCGGGUUGUGAACCUCUGUCGCCAGUGAAGCAGGCCUGCCUCGUUUGUGGGUGGGUUGACGGUAGCUGGAUAAGAAGCGCCGGCUAACUACGUG